CAAGCUGGCAGCUCAUUAUCUGCCUCUUUGUACAGCUCACAGCGAAGGCCAGCAAACAUUCCUGCGGGAUCAGGAGACAAUUGUCCUUGUGAAAGCAGAUCAUUUAUUUCUACUCAUUCUUCUGCCUUUCAAUGGGUUACUGAGCCGUGAAAGGAUCUUGCACCACCUUCAUACCUCAUCUACCCACAGAGAAUUAGGCUGGAAGAUGAAGACUGCAUAGCCUGCAGCUUCAGGAACCUCACAAGGAAGGCAGAUGGGGCUGGUGGAGCAGACAGAGGGACCCCAAGGAACAACACGGACAGCCCAGCACUUCCAGCAGGAUUGCCCCGGCUGAGCGGCAGCUCCUCUGGGCUCCCUCCAGAAGAAAGCCUCCCACUGCUGUCACUUGUGGAACGCUGUGUCCAGCCCUGCCCUGCAUGCCUCCUGUGCUGCACUUUGCACUCUGUGCCUGCGGGCAGCAGGUCAGCCAUCCUAAAACCCCACUUCACUCCCAGAGCAGGUCUUCUGUUUGCAAUGAAGCGGGCAGAGUCCUGCGAAGGGAGCAGCACGUGGGCUAUCAUCAGAGCCCCAGUGAAGGCCACAAAAGAAUUUCUGAUUUUCAAGUGCUUCUUUCUGCAGACUUAAUAAAGUUUCCUUGGUGUGCUGUUUGA